UGGGGAAUAUUGCACAAUGGGCGCAAGCCUGAUGCAGCCAUGCCGCGUGUGUGAAGAAGGCCUUCGGGUUGUAAAGCACUUUCAGCGAGGAGGAAGGGUAGUGUGUUAAUAGCACAUUGCAUUGACGUUACUCGCAGAAGAAGCACCGGCUAACUCCGUGCCAGCAGCCGCGGUAAUACGGAGGGUGCAAGCGUUAAUCGGAAUUACUGGGCGUAAAGCGCACGCAGGCGGUUUGUUAAGUCAGAUGUGAAAUCCCCGCGCUUAACGUGGGAACUGCAUUUGAAACUGGCAAGCUAGAGUCUUGUAGAGGGGGGUAGAAUUCCAGGUGUAGCGGUGAAAUGCGUAGAGAUCUGGAGGAAUACCGGUGGCGAAGGCGGCCCCCUGGACAAAGACUGACGCUCAGGUGCGAAAGCGUGGGGAGCAAAACAGGAUUAGAUACCCUGGUAGUCCACGCUGUAAACGAUGUCGACUUGGAGGUUGUGCCCUUGAGGCGUGGCUUCCGGAGCUAACGCGUUAAGUCGACCGCCUGGGGGAGUAC
rnacentral:rRNA from 1 species